UACCAGACUCCUACGGGAGGCAGCAGUGGGGAAUAUUGCGCAAUGGGCGAAAGCCUGACGCAGCGACGCCGCGUGAGGGAUGAAGGUCUUCGGAUCGUAAACCUCUGUCAGCAGGGAAGAACGGUCACUGUGCUAAUCAGCAGUGAAUUGACGGUACCUGCAAAGGAAGCACCGGCUAACUACGUGCCAGCAGCCGCGGUAAUACGUAGGGGGCGAGCGUUGUCCGGAAUCACUGGGCGUAAAGGGCGCGUAGGCGGUAAUAUAAGUCAGAUGUGAGAGGUGGGGGCUCAACCCCUAGAGUGCAACUGAUACUGUAUAACUUGAGUGUGAGAGAGGGAAGCGGAAUUCCUAGUGUAGCGGUGAAAUGCGUAGAUAUUAGGAGGAACACCAGUGGCGAAGGCGGCUUUCUGGCUCAUAACUGACGCUGAGGCGCGAAAGCGUGGGGAGCAAACAGGAUUAGAUACCCCUGUAU
rnacentral:rRNA from 1 species